GGGCCCGUAGCCUAGCCAGGAUGGGGCAUCGGCCUCCUAAGCCGAGGGUCGGGGGUUCAAAUCCCCCCGGGCCCGCCA
rnacentral:tRNA from 1 species